GCUUUUAUUAAUGGACUACGUACGGAAGUACAUUGAAGUAAUUCAAGGACGGGGCGGUUGACACUUGAGAGGCAGCUGGUCCACUGGCUAUAAACUGAGCCCGGCCGCCCUCUUGUCCUCGGCCAGACAAGUCUAUAGGCUGUGGCCGCACUGACUCAAUUACAUAUCUCUCAUAAAUUUGGGUGCAAAUAAGACAUUCUGUGCGUUAUCUUUGUUCUUUUGGGUCCGUACGUAGCAUGCGAGGCUUGCCAUAGACCAAAAAUGGAACCGACUCCCUCCGGCGAUCACCGGAGACAAGGAUCAAACACGAGGAACGCAGCAGCCGAGCUUUCCUGAUGAUCGAACACCUUCCUGGUGCCAUGGCCGGUCCUGACUUUCUAGAGGCCCGGGGUUAACUUAAAAAGUGGGCCCAGUAGUAAAAAAAUUUACAUCUAUGCAAAGCACAAUGUUUCUUUUUCUUUCUUAAAAGCAUCUUUUUGUUUCAUUAUAAAAUAAAAUAUAUCAGAUCUAAAAUAUCUACUAGCAUUUUCUUUCUUCUUUUCUCAAAAACAGACAAAUGUUUUUAGGUCACAUUUUAACAAGAAAGAGGUGCAAAUACCUGAAUUUGUCGAAGGAAAAAUAGAUUAAAUCCAGCUAUACAACUCCAAGCACAUCGGAUCUUGCUAGAAAGAUAGGGUCCUUGUAUCCUCAAAUAAGCAACCUCCACAAAAAAUAGGAGAUCGGCCACAGAAUCACCAGGAAAAAAAAGUACAAAGAUCAAGUGGAAAAAGACUCCGAAAUUCCAAGAACUUUUUAAGCAUUUGAAUUAAGAAACUAUCAUGUUGCAACUUGCAAAGCGGCUGAGCUGGUGAAGCGCUCUGACUACUAUCAUCCACUAGAUUGGAAUACUUAUAUGCAUACACAAAGGGGAAUAAGAUGGAGAAACAGAAAGUUGAUGAAAGAAAUCAGCUACAACAACAAUAUCCAUUAAUUUGCUAGAUAUGCUUCUUGCUUUAGGAGUAGGAGCGAAACGGGGAACGAGAAGACAAAGGAAGAAGAAACAACGGUGGCUGGUGUUUUAUGAGAUGGGUCGGUUGAAUCAAAACUGGAUUAGUGCCUUUCGCAAUUCACGUGACCUACUAGUACUACUAGACAAAGCAGUAGCUUUUUUUUCAUGAAAACACGUACUAUAAUGUACUAAUAAGCAAGUAGUUAAUUGCCCUUUUGGUUCAGCCGUGUAAUAGACAUGCACAGGUUCAGGGCCCCCCAGCAGGCU
rnacentral:lncRNA from 1 species